rnacentral:rRNA from 1 species
GAGUUUGAUCAUGGCUCAGAACGAACGCUAGCGGCAUGCCUAACACAUGCAAGUCGAACGAAGGCUUCGGCCUUAGUGGCGCACGGGUGCGUAACGCGUGGGAAUCUGCCCUUUGCUUCGGAAUAACAGUGGGAAACUACUGCUAAUACCGGAUGAUGUCUUCGGACCAAAGAUUUAUCGGCAAGGGAUGAGCCCGCGUAGGAUUAGGUAGUUGGUGGGGUAAAGGCCUACCAAGCCGACGAUCCUUAGCUGGUCUGAGAGGAUGAUCAGCCACACUGGGACUGAGACACGGCCCAGACUCCUACGGGAGGCAGCAGUGGGGAAUAUUGGACAAUGGGGG